GUACACUCCUGCGGGAGGCAGCAGUGGGGAAUAUUGCACAAUGGGCGCAAGCCUGAUGCAGCCAUGCCGCGUGUAUGAAGAAGGCCUUCGGGUUGUAAAGUACUUUCAGCGGGGAGGAAGGCGAUAAGGUUAAUAACCUUGUUGAUUGACGUUACCCGCAGAAGAAGCACCGGCUAACUCCGUGCCAGCAGCCGCGGUAAUACGGAGGGUGCAAGCGUUAAUCGGAAUUACUGGGCGUAAAGCGCACGCAGGCGGUCUGUCAAGUCGGAUGUGAAAUCCCCGGGCUCAACCUGGGAACUGCAUUCGAAACUGGCAGGCUAGAGUCUUGUAGAGGGGGGUAGAAUUCCAGGUGUAGCGGUGAAAUGCGUAGAGAUCUGGAGGAAUACCGGUGGCGAAGGCGGCCCCCUGGACAAAGACUGACGCUCAGGUGCGAAAGCGUGGGGAGCAAACAGGAUUAGAAACCCUUGUAGUCCCAUGA
rnacentral:rRNA from 1 species